UCCCAGGUCUCGUCUUUCUUCCCUCUAUCUGUGAACUUAAGCCGGAUCUUUUGCCAAACCCUAGUGGUUUCUAUUAGAUCUCCUCCCUUAGCCUUCCACUCUCGCGAACGGGUCUGCU